CGGGACACGUGGUAUCCUGUCUGAAUAUGGGGGGACCAUCCUCCAAGGCUAAAUACUCCUGACUGACCGAUAGUGAACCAGUACCGUGAGGGAAAGGCGAAAAGAACCCCGGCGAGGGGAGUGAAAAAGAACCUGAAACCGUGUACGUACAAGCAGUGGGAGCCUCUUUAUGGGGUGACUGCGUACCUUUUGUAUAAUGGGUCAGCGACUUAUAUUCUGUAGCAAGGUUAACCGAAUAGGGGAGCCGAAGGGAAACCGAGUCUUAACUGGGCGUUAAGUUGCAGGGUAUAGACCCGAAACCCGGUGAUCUAGCCAUGGGCAGGUUGAAGGUUGGGUAACACUAACUGGAGGACCGAACCGACUAAUGUUGAAAAAUUAGCGGAUGACUUGUGGCUGGGGGUGAAAGGCCAAUCAAACCGGGAGAUAGCUGGUUCUCCCCGAAAGCUAUUUAGGUAGCGCCUCGUGAACUCAUCUCCGGGGGUAGAGCACUGUUUCGGCAAGGGGGUCAUCCCGACUUACCAACCCGAUGCAAACUGCGAAUACCGGAGAAUGUUAUCACGGGAGACACACGGCGGGUGCUAACGUCCGUCGUGAAGAGGGAAACAACCCAGACCGCCAGCUAAGGUCCCAAAGUCAUGGUUAAGUGGGAAACGAUGUGGGAAGGCCCAGACAGCCAGGAUGUUGGCUUAGAAGCAGCCAUCAUUUAAAGAAAGCGUAAUAGCUCACUGGUCGAGUCGGCCUGCGCGGAAGAUGUAACGGGGCUAAACCAUG
rnacentral:rRNA from 1 species